GAGGUAAGGGCUCACCAAGGCGACGAUCCCUAGCUGGUCUGAGAGGAUGAUCAGCCACACUGGAACUGAGACACGGUCCAGACUCCUACGGGAGGCAGCAGUGGGGAAUAUUGCACAAUGGGCGCAAGCCUGAUGCAGCCAUGCCGCGUGUGUGAAGAAGGCCUUCGGGUUGUAAAGCACUUUCAGUCGUGAGGAAGGUAGUGUAGUUAAUAGCUGCAUUAUUUGACGUUAGCGACAGAAGAAGCACCGGCUAACUCCGUGCCAGCAGCCGCGGUAAUACGGAGGGUGCGAGCGUUAAUCGGAAUUACUGGGCGUAAAGCGCAUGCAGGUGGUUUGUUAAGUCAGAUGUGAAAGCCCGGGGCUCAACCUCGGAAUUGCAUUUGAAACUGGCAGACUAGAGUACUGUAGAGGGGGGUAGAAUUUCAGGUGUAGCGGUGAAAUGCGUAGAGAUCUGAAGGAAUACCGGUGGCGAAGGCGGCCCCCUGGACAGAUACUGACACUCAGAUGCGAAAGCGUGGGGAGCAAACAGGAUUAGAUACCCUGGUAGUCCACGCCGUAAACGAUGUCUACUUGGAGGUUGUGGCCUUGAGCCGUGGCUUUCGGAGCUAACGCGUUAAGUAGACCGCCUGGGGAGUACGGUCGCAAGAUUAAAACUCAAAUGAAUUGACGGGGGCCCGCACAAGCGGUGGAGCAUGUGGUUUAAUUCGAUGCAACGCGAAGAACCUUACCUACUCUUGACAUCCAGAGAACUUUCCAGAGAUGGAUUGGUGCCUUCGGGAACUCUGAGACAGGUGCUGCAUGGCUGUCGUCAGCUCGUGUUGUGAAAUGUUGGGUUAAGUCCCGCAACGAGCGCAACCCUUAUCCUUGUUUGCCAGCGAGUAAUGUCGGGAACUCCAGGGAGACUGCCGGUGAUAAACCGGAGGAAGGUGGGGACGACGUCAAGUCAUCAUGGCCCUUACGAGUAGGGCUACACACGUGCUACAAUGGCGCAUACAGAGGGCGGCCAACUUGCGAAAGUGAGCGAAUCCCAAAAAGUGCGUCGUAGUCCGGAUUGGAGUCUGCAACUCGACUCCAUGAAGUCGGAAUCGCUAGUAAUCGUGGAUCAGAAUGCCACGGUGAAUACGUUCCCGGGCCUUGUACACACCGCCCGUCACACCAUGGGAGUGGGCUGCAAAAGAAGUAGGUAGUUUAACCUUCGGGGGGACGCUUACCACUUUGUGGUUCAUGACUGGGGUGAAGUCGUAACAAGGUAGCGCUAGGGGAACCUGGCGCUGGAUCACCUCCUUAAACGAUGAU
rnacentral:rRNA from 1 species